UACGUAGGGGGCUAGCGUUGUCCGGAAUCAUUGGGCGUAAAGAGCGUGUAGGCGGCCCGGUAAGUCCGCUGUAAAAGUCGGGGGCUCAACCCUCGAAAGCCGGUGGAUACUGUCGGGCUAGAGUACGGUAGAGGGCGGCGGAAUUCCGGGUGUAGCGGUGAAAUGCGUAGAUAUCCGGAGGAACACCGAUGGCGAAGGCAACCGCCUGGGCCUGUACUGACGCUGAGACACGAAAGCGUGGGGAGCAAACAGG
rnacentral:rRNA from 1 species